CCUACGGGUGGCAGCAGUGAGGAAUAUUGGUCAAUGGACGAGAGUCUGAACCAGCCAAGUAGCGUGAAGGAUGACUGCCCUAUGGGUUGUAAACUUCUUUUAUAUGGGAAUAAAACAGGGUAUGCAUACCCUCUUGUAUGUACCAUAUGAAUAAGGAUCGGCUAACUCCGUGUCAGCAUCCGCGGUAAUACGGAGGAACCGAGCGUUAUCCGGAUUUAUUGGGUUUAAAGGGAGCGUAGGUGGAUUGUUAGGUCAGUUGUGAAAGUUUGCGGCUCAACCGUAAAAUUGCAGUUGAAACUGGCAGUCUUGAGUACAGUAGAGGUGGGCGGAAUGCGUGGUGUAGCGGUGAAAUGCUUAGAUAUCACGAAGAACUCCGAUUGCGAAGGCAGCUUACUAAACUGCCACUGACAUUGAUGCUCGAAAGUGUGGGUAUCAAACAGGAUUAGAUACCCUAGUAGUC
rnacentral:rRNA from 1 species